UGUGUGUGUGUGUUUGUUAGUGUGUGUGUGUUAGUGUGUGUGUGUUAGGGUGUGUGUUAACACACACACGCUAACACACACACACACACU